AGCUCCAAUAGCGUAUAUUAAAGUUGUUGCAGUUAAAAAGCUCGUAGUUGGAUUUCUGGUGAGAUGGAUUAUGUCUAGGUCGAAAGAUCUUGUUCAUGGUUCGUUUUGCCCUUCUUGUCAGGAACCCGCUGAGAUUCGCGUCUUGUCGGUGAAAUGGCAUCGUUUACUGUGAAAAAAUUAGAGUGUUCAAAGCAGGCAUCGCCGUUGAAUACAUUAGCAUGGAAUAAUAAGAUAAGACUUUGGUGGUCUAUUUUGUUGGUUUGCACGCCAAAGUAAUGAUUAAUAGGGAUAGUUGGGGGUAUUCGUAUUCUAUUGCUAGAGGUGAAAUUCUUAAAUUUAUGGAAGACGAACUACUGCGAAAGCAUUUACCAAGGAUGUUUUCAUUAAUCAAGAACGAAAG
rnacentral:rRNA from 1 species